rnacentral:rRNA from 1 species
AACGAACGCUGGCGGCAGGCUUAACGCAUGCAAGUCGAGCGCAUCCUUCGGGGUGAGCGGCAGACGGGUGAGUAACGCGUGGGAAUCUACCUUUUGCUACGGAAUAGCUCCGGGAAACUGGAAUUAAUACCGUAUGUGCCCUUAGGGGGAAAGAUUUAUCGGCAAGAGAUGAGCCCGCGUUGGAUUAGCUAGUUGGUGGGGUAAAGGCCUACCAAGGCGACGAUCCAUAGCUGGUCUGAGAGGAUGAUCAGCCACAUUGGGACUGAGACACGGCCCAAACUCCUACGGGAGGCAGCAGUGGGGAAUAUUGGACAAUGGGCGCAAGCCUGAUCCAGCCAUGCCGCGUGAGUGAUGAAGGCCUUAGGGUUGUAAAGCUCUUUCACCGGAGAAGAUAAUGACGGUAUCCGGAGAAGAAGCCCCGGCUAACUUCGUG